UCUACUAUACAUAUAGAUAAGCUUUGAUCGAAAAAUGUUAUAAUAUAAAUAUUUUAAAGAUUCUUUUUAGAUACAGCAAUAUUCAAACGUCAGUGAGAAAUUACACCUUGGAAUAUUUUUUUACACGAUAUUUAUACUCUUUAAAGUAUAUUUGUAUUUCAACGAAUAAGGGCCUUUUACUAUAUUUUAUAUUCGUACCAAUAUGGAAGUAGCGAGAUCCAAAAAUGAUCGCAAUUGAUCGUACCAUUUAUCUCCUAUUAGAAUCUCGAGAAAUUCAAUGUUGCUGCGCAACAGAAUAGUGAUACAGACCUCCAACACCUACGUAUAAGAGGCAGCUCGCGAAAUUUCAUUCGCUCAUUCAUAAUAGAGCUUCGCGCGCUAAGAGUGUAUGUAGCCAAAUCUCCGUCAGUUUAUCAUCAUUCCUAAGCCUGCAAGUAAUUACAGGAGACUACGGGUAUAUGUUCAAAUUCUAGUACAUACUCCCUUUCUCAACCCAGACCAGCGAUAAUUAAGUGACUCGUGCUUUCAGCAUCCUACGUUUGAUAGGGCGUACAACAAUAUACACGGGAAGGAAUAUUAAUUCCGUUGUGUAACAGCGAUCACAUUUAUUCGCGACGGAUUUCUGUUUAACAGUUGAAGAUCAGCUGGAUUGUUAUGCCAGAAAUGAGUGGCUCGUGGAAUUGCAUUACCUUCGGUAUUAUGUUCGUCCAGCUUUCGAUGGUAUUUAAAGAAUGUGACAAAAAUAUUACUUAAAGCAGCUACAGAGGAUAAAAGUAUCGAGGGUGAGAUAUCAAAUAACUCGGAGAAACGAAUGUUCGUCAUAUUUGAACGAGGCGGAUAAACUCGGAUGUUCAAGUGUUUAUGGGAAAUGAGAAAGCGUAAAAAUGUAGAGAAUGCACGUAAUGUGAAAAGAUAUAGAAAAUGUUCAUGUAUUACAGUGUUCACUAAGGCAGUCGUUAUACUUGAAAGUUCUUACGUGUUUAGGGGAAAAGAUCUAUUUUGCAGAUUUAUUUUUGAAAGAAUGAGCGAUUUGCUUUUGAAUAUUCGGGAAAGAAACAUUGUUCACUGUAUAUCAGAAGGAUAACUUUUAUGUAGAUUUAUAUUUAUUGCUGCUUUGGCGGGGUGUUUUUCAUAGAAUUAAGGACGUCCAUUUUAUUAUGAACUUUUAUCGAACAAACGUACGAUUGCACCAUUUAACAUUCCGUACGUAUUCGUACGAAUGCAUUAUUUAGCAGCAGCAACAGUGGAAACACGGAACGUUACCAGUGUUGAAUAAAAAGAAUUGUUAGAAUGCAGUAGAUUGCAUUUGUAGUUUGUUUCAUGAUACGAUAUUUAUUAUAUCCACUUAUUACAAUAUUACAGUACAGUGCUCUAUAAACGGAAAUCCGUUGUAAAUCAAGAGCAAAUGUUGCCGACGCCAAUUUUCCAGGCUCAAUGCAAAAAAUAAAGAGAGAUAAGUCUUCCCAUUAAAAUAAAAAAUAAUUCUCUUCGAUUCUCAUCUAGAUUAAAUUCUAUUAAUUCGAUUCGAUUCCAUCUACAUUAACAUAAAUUAAAUUCUUGACCUCAAAGAACUGUCAGACGUUAAUGGUUACAAGAAAGAUAUAUUCAAUCGAAUUCGAUAUUUUGCGUUUCGUUAAAUGUCCGCAUUAUCCAGACGUAGACUACGACUGCCAGCAAGCCGAAUCUGUAAAGCUGAGGGUAAUUUCUUCUGUGCAACAGUACGGGCAUCGAUACAAGAAAGUAAUCAAUUUCUCUACAUCAAUUACGAUAGAAGAGUCCUUUAUCAAGUUACUAUUAGAAUAGUAGUUUGAAACGUACAGAAAUGCCAGCUGCGCACGUCUUACACAUUUUAAUUGUUAAUGAACGAACAGCUGAAGCGUACAAAUUGUCUCGAAUUUAGGAUAUUUCGGUGUAAGACGCCUUUUUAAUUUUUAAUUUUUUCCUCGAACCUUCUAAAUGUCUAUCGUUUGUAUUAGAAUUAUCAAAAUGAUCGAGUUCAGAUUCUUUGUUUUCGCGAUAAGUAAAAACAGUAGGAAUUUUUUUAGCGAAAGUAACGUUGAAUUUCAUCCAGACAGAAACAUGAUUAUACAAUCUUCUACAUUAAUCUACAUAUAUGUAGUGAAGCAUCGAUCGGAAGUAAGUAAUUCGGGCGUUAAAGAGAGCACUAUCAAUUGCGAUGCAUAUACUUCUCUUGACAAGUCGUCACGUUUACGUGACACUCGAUGAUCCCCAUUAAUCGCGAGGCUCUGUCAGUCACAGACGUUUAAAAUUAUUGCUCUAAAUGCGUUAUAACGAAAUUUAUUGGAUUUACAACGAGCCUGUUAACGAUCUUGGCGUACUGAUUUCAUCGCACCUUCGACUCGUUCCUUUCGUUUCACCUUUAACCCUUGUCUCUGCAAUUCUCAAGGCAGCCUCUAGCACGCUCUGUCUAGCGACGCGACGGAAGAACGAAUUUCCGGAAGACGAGACCCAAUCGAGCGUCGCCCAUUCGUCACGGCGACUUCUACCGUAAAGAAGACCGAAGAAACGAAAAAAAAACGACGCAUAAACGAACCGCAACUGCGAUUCUCUUGGGAGUUGCGUUGUUCCACCAUGGGGAAUGAAUUUCUUGGUUAAAACUUUUGUUUUGUGCCGGGUAUGAAAAUACAAGACCGUAUUGACUAUACAUGUAUGUUGCCGCUCAUAGAUGUGUGAACAUUUUGCUCGAUUUCUAUUAACAAUACCGGAUUAUUAUUGCCAGGAAUAUACACUUGAAUUAAUGACAGAGUAAUGAUCAAAAAGCAAAAUUUAAAUUGUUUUAAUACCAUGUAAUAUUAAUAUAUGUAUAAUGUUUCUGUUAUAGAUAGAAUAGAAAGCCAAAGGGUGGAAUGAAAAUUGGCUAAAACAAUGAUCGAGAGAUAUAGUGGAUAGAGUCAAAGAAAACAUUUAAUUUUCCUAUAUAUAUACCAAUCCUACACAGUUUAACGAUUCUUAAAGAUUUUAAUAAUUUUCUCACGAUUUAUCAAGCGCAUCUCGAUGGAGGGACUUCCAUCGAUGACGAACUCUGCUCUUGAUGACUAAGGAUUCUAGAAGUUGCUUACAAAACACGUCGGAAUAUCUCGUAAAAACAACCUGUGUACAAAACAAAUAUGUACACGCAUUGAACUGGACACGAGCAAAACAUACCGGAAAGGAGAAGAAUGGGCGGAAAUUGCGCAAAGUUUAGCGUGCGGAUUGAAUAUACGAAGUAAUAAUUAAACAAUUAUUCCGCAUAUAAUUUUCUUUUAAUAAAUAUUUAAUGUCAUAGUAUAUUUUAUAUUUGAUCGUAAUAUAAUUAUGAAAUAUAAGAAUGAUAUCGAUUUAAUUGACAAAUUUAGAUUUCCGUAAUGAAGUCAUAUAUUUAUAAAUAAUAUCAUAGAGUAAUAUUUCAAUGGUUACGGAUCUACCUCUCAUUGAAUUUAAAAAAUUCAGCUCAGUGGAAGUUCUUUGUCUCAAAUGUAAUUUCUUUAUCCCAAACACUUUAUUAAUUAAGAAGAAUUUGCCCAUUAAAUUUUUUCGGAUGGCGCAUUGUUUUUAGUAGUGGAAAUGACAAAGAUUUAUGAACAGAAAAUGCUUGCAGAAGUAGUUACGAAACAUUUAAGCUAGAUAAAUGGUUCAAAUCCUUUAACUGGUGACAGUCUAAGGAGGCAAAUAUUUAGUGUAUGAAAUAUCUCACAGGUCUAAGAUGUACAUCAGUAGUACUUAAAUAUGCGGAGCAUGCACGCCAGCGUGUAAGGGGUGUCAAAAAUUGACAGAAGAAGAAGAAGAAGAAUAAGAAAUCAGCAUCCAGUCAGUUGAGGCUAACACGUGAUCCAGCUGUGUUGAUUAUAUUUUCAUACCCUUCUCAAUGCAUAUAUCAUAGUGAAAUUUCUUUCUAUUUGUAUAAAAAUAAAUUCAACCUGUAGUAAUCAUUUGCAUACUGUGAAAAUGACGUAUGAUAUGCUCAUUGCAUUUGUUACAAUAUGAUUUACUUUCUUUUUACUAAUACUUGUUUCGUUUAAUUAAUCGUUAAUUAUUCGUUUAAUAAUCGUUCGAUAAAUUAACAAAGAUCUAGAAGUGAAAAUCUUUUUACAUCUUUUAUACGUAACUUUUAUUCACUGUCCGUUGUUUAAAUUUUGGUAGCACAAACUUGGUUGUCAUUAAAGGGAUUUCGUAACAUUCUCUAUUCCCGUAAAUUCGCGCUUAAGCGGUUCACACUAUAGAUCUUUCAUCCUAAUGCUGAAUAUCUUCCGCUUCAAUUACCUAUGUGCUAAGUGGCGUAACUAAUGGCUUUGAAUAACCAUAUACAUAUCGAAACACGUAUUAACUUUCUCUUUUACUGCACGAUUAUUGUUGUAAAUUCCUUUUGUCAAUACAAACUUACUUUUCCAAUAGAAUUGUUUAUCUUGAAUGCAUCCUCGUUAAAUAUUCUACAUUAUUAUAUAUGUUAUACAGCGGUUGGAUUUGUCAUAGAAAUUGGUUUAUCGUAGAGAGAAAAAGAUAAAUAUAUUUUCUAGAAUAUUAUUAAUAAAUAUGUUAUUAAAUAUAAUCAAAUGUAUGUGAUUGUAUUGUAUAUUAAACGUUAUUGUCGCAGAAUAUGUUA